UCAGUCGCGUAAAUUGUGCUUAUAAACAUGUGUUAUUUAAUAAAGUUCGAUAGAAAAGAAACAUAAAGUUGAGUUGCGGCUCAACAUUCUUGUCUUUAAAACCUAAGCCUUUAUUUUACGUGACAUUUUGGCGAUCCGUGCCAGGAUCCAUCAACUUCAAAAAACCGAAAUUACGCAGUUCGGGCUACGGUCAACUAUGAAGAUUGAGGAUCAGCGGACCACUGCAACAGAGCAAACACUUUCGACGCUUCGACAAAGGAACACCAUAACGGAACCUUUCCUACGGGCUAAACGACCAAGUGGCGCUUCAACUAGUAGUGGGAGAGGCCUAACUGUUAGAGCUAUAUUAGACGCAAUGCAGAAACAAAACGAGACGUUCACCCAACAAAUUAACAUACACACAGUACGUAUUGACGAAACUUAAAACACAGCAAUAGAAAGGGAGGAGAAACUCGCAGUAGAGAACGCACUAGAAGGGAAGAAUUUAGCAAGAAUACAAAUGGGAGAUGUAUCAGAAGCCACUUCUUUAAUAACCAUACCCAGAUGAAUAUACUCACAUUGCUAAAGAUCAAUCAGUCCUUCGAGAACCUCCUCCAAUACCUCAGACAUCACCUCAAUCAUCAGAGGACGCAAUUUUCCCAGAAUGUUUUACACAACCAGAGCUUACAGCUGUGGCUGUACUCGACAACAAAUAUCGCCACUCGACAUUAAGUACGGGCGAUGGUAGCGCAGUGUUUAGUGCCUUAGAUUAC
rnacentral:misc_RNA from 1 species